rnacentral:rRNA from 1 species
UACGUAGGUGGCAAGCGUUGUCCGGAUUUACUGGGCGUAAAGAGCGCGCAGGCGGUCGUUCAAGUCGCGUGUGAAAGCCCCCGGCUCAACUGGGGAGGGUCACGCGAUACUGAUCGACUCGAAGGCAGGAGAGGGAAGUGGAAUUCCCGGUGUAGUGGUGAAAUGCGUAGAUAUCAGGAGGAACACCUGCGGUGUAGACGGCUUACUGGACCACCACUGACGCUGAGGCACGAAAGCGUGGGUAGCAAACAGG